AGAAAUUAUGAACCAUAUGCACAAAUAUUUUCCAGGAUAGUGGCAACUUCCAUGUAGUUUAAUUAUAAAAUAUCCUGUUGCUCAUACUUCUUUUGCACUUCCCUAGGCAUCUUUCACGGUCACAAUUAGAGAAGCAAUAGAGAUAUUAUCUGGAAUUUCCUGCUCCUGAAAUCCUGGAAAAAUCCACUUGGCUGGAAUGAAGAACGUAUAAAAUUAUUAUUUGCCCUUAGCACAGUAGCAGACAAUGCAUGAGAUUUGAGGGCUGAGAAUUUUGAAUCUCUCUCUCUCAUCUUAUUUAUCUGGGAUAUAAUCUUAAUUGCCACACUCUCAACAGAUCUAGU